rnacentral:ncRNA from 1 species
CUCAUGGGGGUUCUGCGAUCCCCCCACGAGGCGACAUGCCCAAGUAUCGCGUCCCGUUUCUUUCACGAGGGCGCAUCCAUG